UGCGUAGGCGGGUCUUUAAGUCAGGGGUGAAAUCCUGGAGCUCAACUCCAGAACUGCCUUUGAUACUGAAGAUCUUGAGUCCGGGAGAGGUGAGUGGAACUGCGAGUGUAGAGGUGAAAUUCGUAGAUAUUCGCAAGAACACCAGUGGCGAAGGCGGCUCACUGGCCCGGUACUGACGCUGAGGCACGAAAGCUGGGGAGCAAACA
rnacentral:rRNA from 1 species